UGCGUAGGUGGUUUCUUAAGUCAGAGGUGAAAGGCUACGGCUCAACCGUAGUAAGCCUUUGAAACUGGGAAACUUGAGUGCCGGAGAGGUAAGCGGAAUUCCUAGUGUGGCGGUGAAAUGCGUAGAUAUUAGGAAGAAACACCAGUGGCGAAGGCGGCUUACUGGACGGUAACUGACGUUGAGGCUCGAAAGCGUGGGGAGCAAACA
rnacentral:rRNA from 1 species